UAUCAUGAUUCGGUAAACAUCCAUUCCUUAAGGAUUACCCUUAAGAUUAUUUCUACUAUUUGAUUCUAUUAACGGCUACGGACCACGCCUUAUAGGGACUAGUGACCAUUCUCAUUUUUGCCAUGGCACUUUCUUUGAUGCUACCAGGUGAUGCACGCACAAUUGAUCCAGGCCUUGGUGGAUUCAGGCCUAAAUAUUGCCCAACUUGUCUUUGUGCGGCACCUCCACCACCAGGUUCCUGCUGCAAGUGCCGUGGCGGAAGUGCUAUUUCUACUGUGGCCCCGGCUACUAAGGGCUCUCCCUAGUUUGCCUUCUUAAGAUGCUUCUGAGACCUGAAUAAGUCAUUAGCGGAGUAAUAAGAGAGUCUCGUGGUCCAGUUGGCAUAUAUAUAUAUAUAUAUAUAUUUCAUUUCUGUAAGAUACUUCAUGUUUAUGGUAUGAGAAAUAACAGUAUCGGUUCCAAGUACUGGUUUUUAUUUAAAUAAAUGUUUUUUUUAUUAUU